AUACGGAGGUGGCGAAUGUUGCUCGGAAUUACUGGGCGUAAAGCGCGCGUAGGCGGGUUGGCAAGUUGAAGGUGAAAUCCCAGGGCUCAACCCUGGAACUGCCUCCAAAACUGCCAGUCUUGAGUUCGGAAGAGGUGAGUGGAAUUCCUAGUGUAGAGGUGAAAUUCGUAGAUAUUAGGAAGAACACCAGUGGCGAAGGCGACUCACUGGUCCGAUACUGACGCUGAGGUGCGAAAGCGUGGGGAGCAAACAGGAUUAGAAACCCGGGUAGUCC
rnacentral:rRNA from 1 species